rnacentral:rRNA from 1 species
UGGGGAAUAUUGGACAAUGGGCGAAAGCCUGAUCCAGCCAUGCCGCGUGUGUGAAGAAGGUCUUCGGAUUGUAAAGCACUUUAAGUUGGGAGGAAGGGCAUUAACCUAAUUCGUUAGUGUUUUGACGUUACCGACAGAAUAAGCACCGGCUAACUCUGUGCCAGCAGCCGCGGUAAUACAGAGGGUGCAAGCGUUAAUCGGAAUUACUGGGCGUAAAGCGCGCGUAGGUGGUUUGUUAAGUUGGAUGUGAAAUCCCCGGGCUCAACCUGGGAACUGCAUUCAAAACUGACUGACUAGAGUAUGGUAGAGGGUGGUGGAAUUUCCUGUGUAGCGGUGAAAUGCGUAGAUAUAGGAAGGAACACCAGUGGCGAAGGCGACCACCUGGACUAAUACUGACACUGAGGUGCGAAAGCGUGGGGAGCAAACA